GACGAACGCUGGCGGCGCGCCUAACACAUGCAAGUCGAACGGAGUCAAGAGGGGCUUGCUUUUCUUGACUUAGUGGCGAACGGGUGAGUAACGCGUGAGUAACCUGCCCUGGAGUGGGGGACAACAGUUGGAAACGACUGCUAAUACCGCAUAAGCCCACGAUCCGGCAUCGGAUUGAGGGAAAAGGAUUUAUUCGCUUCAGGAUGGACUCGCGUCCAAUUAGCUAGUUGGUGAGGUAACGGCCCACCAAGGCGACGAUUGGUAGCCGGACUGAGAGGUUGAACGGCCACAUUGGGACUGAGACACGGCCCAGACUCCUACGGGAGGCAGCAGUGGGGGAUAUUGCACAAUGGGGGAAACCCUGAUGCAGCGACGCCGCGUGGAGGAAGAAGGUUUUCGGAUUGUAAACUCCUGUCGUUAGGGACGAUAAUGACGGUACCUAACAAGAAAGCACCGGCUAACUACGUGCCAGCAGCCGCGGUAAAACGUAGGGUGCAAGCGUUGUCCGGAAUUACUGGGUGUAAAGGGAGCGCAGGCGGACCGGCAAGUUGGAAGUGAAAACUAUGGGCUCAACCCAUAAAUUGCUUUCAAAACUGCUGGCCUUGAGUAGUGCAGAGGUAGGUGGAAUUCCCGGUGUAGCGGUGGAAUGCGUAGAUAUCGGGAGGAACACCAGUGGCGAAGGCGACCUACUGGGCACCAACUGACGCUGAGGCUCGAAAGCAUGGGUAGCAAACAAGAUUAGAUACCCUGGUAGUCCAUGCCGUAAAC
rnacentral:rRNA from 1 species